rnacentral:rRNA from 1 species
GACGAACGCUGGCGGCGUGCUUAACACAUGCAAGUCGAACGGAAAGGCCCUGCUUUUGUGGGGUGCUCGAGUGGCGAACGGGUGAGUAACACGUGAGUAACCUGCCCUUGACUUUGGGAUAACUUCAGGAAACUGGGGCUAAUACCGGAUAGGAGCUCCUGCUGCAUGGUGGGGGUUGGAAAGUUUCGGCGGUUGGGGAUGGACUCGCGGCUUAUCAGCUUGUUGGUGGGGUAGUGGCUUACCAAGGCUUUGACGGGUAGCCGGCCUGAGAGGGUGACCGGCCACAUUGGGACUGAGAUACGGCCCAGACUCCUACGGGAGGCAGCAGGGGGGAAUAUUGCACAAUGGGCGGAAGCCGGAUGCAGCAACGCCGCGUGCGGGAUGACGGCCUUCGGGUGGUAAACCGCUUUCGCCUGUGACGAAGCGUGAGUGACGGUAAUGGGUAAAGAAGCACCGGCUAACUACGU